AAUUCGAUUAGAGUUUGAUCCUGGCUCAGAUUGAACGCUGGCGGCAUGCCUUACACAUGCAAGUCGAACGGCAGCACGGGAGCUUGCUCCUGGUGGCGAGUGGCGAACGGGUGAGUAAUACAUCGGAACGUACCCAGGAGUGGGGGAUAACGUAGUGAAAGUUACGCUAAUACCGCAUAUUCUGUGAGCAGGAAAGCGGGGGAUCGCAAGACCUCGCGCUCUUGGAGCGGCCGAUGUCGGAUUAGCUAGUUGGUGAGGUAAAAGCUCACCAAGGCGACGAUCCGUAGCAGGUCUGAGAGGAUGAUCUGCCACACUGGGACUGAGACACGGCCCAGACUCCUACGGGAGGCAGCAGUGGGGAAUUUUGGACAAUGGGGGCAACCCUGAUCCAGCCAUGCCGCGUGAGUGAAGAAGGCCUUCGGGUUGUAAAGCUCUUUCGGCGGGGAAGAAAUGGCAACGGCUAAUAUCCGUUGUUGAUGACGGUACCCGCAUAAGAAGCACCGGCUAACUACGUGCCAGCAGCCGCGGUAAUACGUAGGGUGCGAGCGUUAAUCGGAAUUACUGGGCGUAAAGCGUGCGCAGGCGGUUUCGUAAGACAGACGUGAAAUCCCCGGGCUCAACCUGGGAACUGCGUUUGUGACUGCGAGGCUAGAGUACGGCAGAGGGGGGUAGAAUUCCACGUGUAGCAGUGAAAUGCGUAGAGAUGUGGAGGAAUACCGAUGGCGA
rnacentral:rRNA from 1 species